rnacentral:lncRNA from 1 species
CUUGAAUUUUGGGUUUUCGGUGCUUGUGUCAAGUUUGUGCCAUGGUGAGAUCCCAUGUUCCUCACUUCCUCCUACCUGGAUCCUCUCCCACCUGCCUCUCACAGAGAGCUUGGGACAUCUUCCAAGGAGACACUGCCCAUCCCUGUCCCACACAGACUGAAGAAGCCAAGCUGGUCAUUUUUCCAAGAGAAAGAACUCAGCCUUGAGCUGGGGACCUCGCUCCCCGUGCCAAGCCAAGCAGUUCCUGAGAUGAAAAAGAACUUGGACGUUUGGUUCUUUGGUUUCUACUCCCCAGGCCCUGGCUUGGUGCGGAGAAAAAUUCAGAGGACUUCGAUGGAGCGGACGCCGCACGGUGUUCUGCUCCUAAAGAUGCAAGGGACUGUGUUCACUAAGGUUGGCACAGCUUGCAGGGAGCUGGGCUGACUCUGG